AGGAUGCAUUAUUAUCAUGGAGAUCAUCUAUAAAAUGGACUUUUCUCUACUGGGGUUCAUUAUUUACUCGCUAAUUUUGGGUAUUGGUAUGUGCUGAAUUUCUUUUAUUGUUUUCUAUUUGUGGCUAUGUUUUUAGGUGUCUCUAUUAGUGUGCUAUUUCUGCAUUUACAAGAAAUUGAUCACUCAUUAAUACAAAAAGAAGCCUCUUUGUUUCUUCUGGUCAGACUGGUGGUCGUUAUCUAGGAGGGGCCAGGAACCUCUUUAACACAUACUGCAUACA
rnacentral:misc_RNA from 1 species